rnacentral:lncRNA from 1 species
CUUUCUAUAUUUGGUAACAAUUUAGCUUAAACUUACAAUUCUACCCUUAAUGAGAAGCUUUUAUAACCACACAAAUACUCUUUCCCCUUUUUGCUUUGUUUAGGACCACAAAUUCCAAAAGUCUUCCUUUCUUAAACUCCGUGCCCAGUCAAAUAGGUUCACAAAAAUUGGAACGGAGGGAGUAAUAGAAAAGUAAGAGUGCUUAUUUAUAGAUAGUGGUUGGUCAUGACUUAAGUUGCGCCAGACUCUUCGUUUUUGGUGCUGCACCUGUCUCGACACGGGACGGGUGCGGGACGUUCCAGAUUUGGUCAACUAAUUUCGGAUACUUUGACCUGAGUCCAUCGACAAAUUUGGGUGAAAAUUGAAAUUUUGAUUAAAAAUAAAAUAGAUUUGAGACAUGGAAAAUGGCAUACCUUCAAUAUUGUAGUACUUUUGUCUCA